AGUCCCGUAGGCGAAUUGGUUUUAAGCCGUCUGCCCCUCAAGCAGAAGAUUGCGAGUUCAAACCUCGUCGGGACUA
rnacentral:tRNA from 3 species